GUUGAAGAAACGUUUGGGGGGUAGCUUUUAGUACGUACGCGCCAUGGAUGGCGAAUCGUGCAUGCUGGUACUAAGAGCCAGCAGUAUCUUUUGAAGAUUUUCUACCUCCAC
rfam:Glossina morsitans morsitans, isolate Yale, WGS project CCAG01000000 data, contig: ctg10011060